rnacentral:rRNA from 1 species
GCAACAGCUCAAAUUUGAAAUCUGGCCUCCUCGAGGUCCGAGUUGUAAUUUGUAGAGGGUGCUUCGGGUGCGAUGCCGGUCUAAGUUCCUUGGAACAGGACGUCGUAGAGGGUGAGAAUCCCGUAUGCGACCGGCGAUCAAGCCCGUGCGAAGCCCCUUCGACGAGUCGAGUUGUUUGGGAAUGCAGCUCAAAAUGGGUGGUAAAUUUCAUCUAAAGCUAAAUAUUGGCCAGAGACCGAUAGCGGACAAGUAGAGUGAUCGAAAGAUGAAAAGCACUUUGGAAAGAGAGUCAAACAGUACGUGAAAUUGUUGAAAGGGAAGCGCUUGCAAUCAGACCGGUCCGGAGGCGAUCAGCCGCUGCUCGUCAGCGGUGCACUCGCCUGCGAUCCGGCCAGCAUCGGUUUGGGCGGCGGGAUAAAAGUCCCGGGAAUGUAGCUUCUCCCGGGGAGUCUUAUAGCCCGGGUCGCAAUGCCGCCCGCCCGGACCGAGGACCGCGCUUCG